CCUACGGGGGCUGCAGUGGGGAAUAUUGGACAAUGGGCGAAAGCCUGAUCCAGCCAUGCCGCGUGUGUGAAGAAGGCCUUCGGGUUGUAAAGCACUUUCAGUGGGGAAGAAAGCCUUGGGGCUAAUACCCUCGAGGAAGGACAUCACCCACAGAAGAAGCACCGGCUAACUCCGUGGCCAGCAGCCGCGGUAAUACGGAGGGUGCGAGCGUUAAUCGGAAUUACUGGGCGUAAAGCGCGCGUAGGCGGUCUGAUAAGCCGGUUGUGAAAGCCCCGGGCUCAACCUGGGAACGGCAUCCGGAACUGUCAGGCUAGAGUGCAGGAGAGGAAGGUAGAAUUCCCGGUGUAGCGGUGAAAUGCGUAGAGAUCGGGAGGAAUACCAGUGGCGAAGGCGGCCUUCUGGACUGACACUGACGCUGAGGUGCGAAAGCGUGGGUAGCAAACAGGAUUAGAUACCCCUGUAGUC
rnacentral:rRNA from 1 species